rnacentral:lncRNA from 1 species
GAGAAUUGCUUGAACCCAGGAGGCAGAGGCUGCAGUGAGCUGAGAUUGCACCACUGCACUCCAGCCUGGGUGACAGAGUGAGACUCUGUCUAAAAAAUACAAAAAAAAAAAUUGUUGACCUCUGGCAUAUUUCAUGCUGCCUACUGGGGGUGGGCAAUGGGGUCAGAGGUACCAGAACUGCCUCCUGAACCAGCCUGGCUAUUCUUUCUGCUUCCCUCCAGCUUCAGUUGGUUCUCCUUGAUUACAGUGCUCUCUCUCUCUCUCUCUCUUCUCAUCAACUCGACCUCCUCUUGUUCUGCCAGCUCUGACUUGUCAGCAUAUUUUUUUUUGAAGUCACAACCCUGGAUUCUUGUGCGCUUGUCCAGAGAGUUAGCACACAAGGCUUUUCCUGACUUUUCAACUAGUAGGAAAGUUACAACCGACCAUUUAGGGAGUUUGCUCUUCCCAUCAAGCCUGUUCCUGUCUGCAGGGUGUAUUUGCAUGUGGAGGUCACUCUAGCUCUCCCAGUAUGCAUUCUUAGAAACCAGAUAUACAAAGACAAGAUCUCUGCUUUCAAGAAGCUCUCAAUCUGAUUGAGGAGAGAAACAGGUAGCAAAUAAUGGCAGCAGAGCAUGGUCAUUCAACAUUUAUUCAACCAAAAAUACUAAGUCAGCUCUAUACAAACUAAUGGAAGGAUACAGCUAUGCAAAUAUAGAACACUAAAGUGUUACAUGACAGAUGUAUGAGAACUGGGAAGAAAGGACCCUGAAAAGUUAGCUGGUUCCAAGUGACCCUCCAAGGUAUGGAGAUGCUUUGGGGAGCUGGUGAGGGAGGCACAGAGCAGACUGGGGAGUCAACGGAGGGGCCAAGGUGUCCCGGUGGGGCUUAUUAGAACCUGCCUGAAGGGAGGGUCUCCUAAGACACAAACCACCACUGUAGAUCGUGUAUUAGAAUUAUUCUCUAAUCUUUAUUCUGAAAGGGGAAGAGUGCUGGAUUCAGAGCCCACCUCAGGGGAAGACAGGACCCUCUCCAAGAUGGUUUCCCUAGAAGCUACUACCUCUCCCUGGAGGGUGGAGAUAUUUGCUGGUCAAAGCAAGAAGGCCCUCUGCAGAUGCUGACACCUUGAUAUUGGACUUCCCAGAUUCCAGAACUCUGAGAAAUAAAUUUCUAUUUUAAAUAAAUUACCCAGUCUG